ACCAUGUGGUUUGGAGAAAGAAGCAGAAAAACAAAUGUAAUUGUGAGAUUAAAGAUUUCUUGAGCUACCUCUGUCCUGUGAACGCAUAUCCAAAUGUCAUUCCAGUUGGCACAACUAUGGAUAAAGUUGUCGAAAUCUUAAAGCCUUUAUGCCGGUCUUCCCAAAGUAUGGAG
rnacentral:sRNA from 1 species